rnacentral:rRNA from 1 species
AGCUAGAGUUGAUCCUGGCUCAGGACGAACGCUGGCGGCACGCUUAACACAUGCAAGUCGAACGGGGAUAAUUUGAGUUUACUUAGAUUAUCUUAGUGGCGGACGGGUGAGUAACACGUGAGCAACCUGCCUUUGAGAGAGGGAUAGCUUCUGGAAACGGAUGGUAAUACCUCAUAACGUAGUUUUACCGCAUGGUAGUACUACCAAAGAUUUAUCACUCAAAGAUGGGCUCGCGUCUGAUUAGAUAGUUGGUGAGGUAACGGCUCACCAAGUCGACGAUCAGUAGCCGGACUGAGAGGUUGAACGGCCACAUUGGGACUGAGACACGGCCCAGACUCCUACGGGAGGCAGCAGUGGGGAAUAUUGCACAAUGGGGGAAACCCUGAUGCAGCGAUGCCGCGUGGAGGAAGAAGGUUUUCGGAUUGUAAACUCCUGUCUUAAAGGACGAUAAUGACGGUACUUUAGGAGGAAGCUCCGGCUAACUACGUGCC